rnacentral:rRNA from 1 species
GACGAACGCUGGCGGCGUGCCUAAUACAUGCAAGUUGAGCGCUGAAGGUUGGUACUUGUCCCAACUGGAUGAGCAGCGAACGGGUGAGUAACGCGUGGGGAAUCUGCCUUUGAGCGGGGGACAACAUUUGGAAACGAAUGCUAAUACCGCAUAAAAACUUUAAACACAAGUUUUAAGUUUGAAAGAUGCAAUUGCAUCACUCAAAGAUGAUCCCGCGUUGUAUUAGCUAGUUGGUGAGGUAAAGGCUCACCAAGGCGAUGAUACAUAGCCGACCUGAGAGGGUGAUCGGCCACAUUGGGACUGAGACACGGCCCAAACUCCUACGGGAGGCAGCAGUAGGGAAUCUUCGGAAAUGGACGAAAGUCUGACCGAGCAACGCCGCGUGAGUGAAGAAGGGUUUCGGAUCGUAAAACUCUGUUGGUAGAGAAGAACGUUGGUGAGAGUGGAAAGCUCAUCAAGUGACGGUAACUACCCAGAAAGGGACGGCUAACUACGUG